rnacentral:rRNA from 1 species
AUGAAUGGAGGUAGAAGAAGGAGGAGCACAGAAGAAAACAGAGAACGACACACUGGAUUUCACCCGGCCGCACACGGCCCGUUACACUAUUCCAGAGCACCAACUCUCAUACGGGAUACAUGGCCAAGUUAUAGUCUAGCCAGCUCACACAACGCACUCAGCAAACUACCCACGCGCACGCGCUCACCCGGCGACCCGGCCGCUCGUGCAUGGGGCCAUGCCGUUCCUCCACAAGACCCAACCUCCACGCUUCGCGCUGUGCUGCAUGCACGUCCUUCAUGCCCGGCCUCACGCGCUCAUGACGCGCACACCGUGGCCGCUUCCAAUGCAUCACUAACCACCUAUCUAGCUAGCUUGACGUGGCUGACCACCACGCACGCACACACGCGCACGUCACACACGCACACUACAAACCUGACACGGCCACACACCGCCAUACACACACAUACGCCACACUUCCACGGCGUCCCGCUCGUCCCGCGCGCAUCCGACGUGCCCGACGAGCCCGACACCACCAGUGCGUCCCGCCCGUCACGCACGCAUCCGACGCGCCCGACGAGCCCGGCCACACUAUGCGACGUGGCUUAUUCCAACACACACACCCUAAGCCACGACCUAGAGGUGUCCGUCGUCGUCGACGUUGGCACCAGCUAA